rnacentral:rRNA from 1 species
UACAGGGGGUGCAAACGUUGCUCGGAAUUAUUGGGCGUAAAGCGCACGUAGGCGGUCUGUUAUGUCGGAUGUGAAAGCCCUUGGCUUAACUGAGGAAGUGCAUCCGAAACUGGCAGGCUAGAGUACUAAAGAGGGUUGUGGAAUUCCCGGUGUAGAGGUGAAAUUCGUAGAUAUCGGGAGGAACACCGGUGGCGAAGGCGGCGACCUGGGUAGAUACUGACGCUGAGGUGCGAAAGCGUGGGGAGCAAACAGG